ACGAACGCUGGCGGCGUGCUUAACACAUGCAAGUCGAACGAGGUAGCAAUACCGAGUGGCGGACGGGUGAGUAACACGUAGGUAACCUGCCCUAUUGUGGGGGAUACCCAGCAGAAAGGUUGGCUAAUACCGCAUAAGCUCGUCGGAUGAGAUGCCGAUGAGGAAAGAUUUAUCGCGAUGGGAGGGGCCUGGGUCCGAUUAGCUAGUUGGUGGGGUAAUGGCUCACCAAGGCGACGAUCGGUAGCUGGUCUGAGAGGACGAUCAGCCACACUGGAACUGAGACACGGUCCAGACUCCUACGGGAGGCAGCAGUGGGGAAUUUUCCGCAAUGGGCGAAAGCCUGACGGAGCAACGCAGCGUGGAUGAUGAAGUCUUUCGGGACGUAAAAUCCUUUCAGCAGGGAUGAAGCGAGUGACAGUACCUGCAGAAGAAGCAUCGGCUAACUACGU
rnacentral:rRNA from 1 species